rnacentral:rRNA from 1 species
GGCAUGCCUAACACAUGCAAGUCGAACGGCAGCGCGGGAGCUUGCUCUGGCGGCGAGUGGCGGACGGGUGAGUAACGCGUAGGAAUCUGCCUGGUGGUGGGGGACAACUCGGGGAAACUCGAGCUAAUACCGCAUACGCCCUACGGGGGAAACGGGGGAUCUUCGGACCUCGCGCCAUCAGAUGAGCCUGCGUCCGAUUAGCUUGUUGGUGGGGUAACGGCCUACCAAGGCGACGAUCGGUAGCUGGUCUGAGAGGACGAUCAGCCACACUGGGACUGAGACACGGCCCAGACUCCUACGGGAGGCAGCAGUGGGGAAUAUUGGACAAUGGGCGAAAGCCUGAUCCAGCAAUGCCGCGUGUGCUGAAGAAGGCCUGCGGGUUGUAAAGCACUUUCAGUAAGGGAAGAAAAGCCUGGCGCUAAUACCGUCGGGUCUUGACGUCACCUACAGAAGAAGCACCGGCUAACUCCGUGCCAGCAGCCGCGGUAAUACGGAGGGUGCGAGCGUUAAUCGGAAUUACUGGGCGUAA